rnacentral:tRNA from 1 species
GACUCUACCCUUAUCAAGCUGCAACCUUGACUUACGCGCAAAAGCGCUAGAGUCU